UACGAUCGUGCCACGUGUCAAGUC
rnacentral:siRNA from 1 species